GUGACUUCCAUCACUGGGAAACACUGUUAAAGCACAGUUUAAGGAUGUUGGAGCUUGGUGAUGGUGAACCUGAUGAUGAAGACGAUCCUGAUGACGAAGAUAAUACUUUUGAUGAAGACGAUCUGAAUUCCCAACCUGUACCCAUUACUGAGCCUCUGGGAGAUGCUGAGGGUGUGUCUGCAGGGAGGACUUUGGUGGAUGUUGCACACAAGCCCCGCUCCCAUGGCAGGGGUGAGUAGUGUGUCCCUGCUGACCCCACAGGCUGGGACUUCGUUUUGUGAGAUCCAUUCCUGGGAAAUGGAACUCUGUUUCUCUUAAGGUCCUCCAAGAAGGAAGAAGAAACCUACAGGAGCUCGUAAGUCCCUGGACCAUUCCAAACAUCUGGAACAAAAACAGAGUGGCGUGGACAGCCAGCUUAGUGGGUGCAUUUCCCUCAGCCUUCCCCUGGGACUCAGCAGCCGGGGGCUUUGGCUGCACAUGUGGACACACCGUGCCCAGCACAGCGGGAAGACAUCAAUGCACCACCGGCCAUGCACACCCUAAGAUCCCCUGCAAUUUCCCAGUCUCUGCGCACAUCUGGAGGGGCCGCUCUUUGCAGGAGAGAGGGCCCUGGAGCAGCUCCAAAAUCCUGACCAUUUUCCUUGUCGUUAUCCAUUUCUUUGACAAGUGUUAGUUGGAACAGAAGGGCACAGCAUAGAGGAAUUAUGGCAUGCAGGGUCAGGGGUUUGGGUACUGAGCAGUCCUGUGCCAAGGGGCAGCAAGAUGCCUGCACGCUCCAGCUCUGGAGGAAACAGGGAGUGAGGAGGUCCUGCCCAUAUCCACCACGCUGCAUUUCAGCAGUGCAGCACAGCAGGGGCUCACGCUCCCCAUUGCUCCCACAGAUGCAGCCGAGACCUCAACAGAUUCUGACUACACUUGGAAUAGCAUGAGAAGAGUUUUCUGCUGGGGAACACCUUGUUUGAUUAAGUUGAUGGUCAUUGUGGCUGGUGCAGCACUGUGCCUGCUUUUGUGCUCUGCCGGAAUCUGGUAUUGCUGGAAGAGAAAACGGUGCUCCUGUGCGUCACCAGCAGAUGGGCCUAACAACACAGACAGCGGGAGCUUGACAGUUUAUCCCAGCUCUCCACUUCUGCCCCUAUCUGCCCUGCCAUGGCUGCAGCAGCGUCAGGAGGCCAUUCCAAAACCCAUCCUUCCACGAGACCCUCUGCCCCUGA